rnacentral:lncRNA from 1 species
CUCUCUCUGUCUCUCAAUCAUCUCUUUUCCUGACACACUCAUUACUUUUGCUUGCUUUUAUCAGUCUAGGUCAACAAAGGCGUUAAAACGCAGAAAAGUGCACGAUGAAAAGUAGAAUAUAAUCAGAGACAUUUUCAGACCAAUCUAGUUCUGUUUAGCUUUAGAAGAAUUUACCUAGUUAAGUGCUCAAGCUGUAUACACCAUGGUCACAGAAACAUCUUUUCCUAGGUGUGAACACAACCCUAAUUGAAGCCAGAGAAAGAUACCAUUCACAUACCUUUUUGUUUAGCUUUUGGACAUCAUGUGCAACACACUUUUAGAGUAGACGAUAAACACUGACCUUGCUCAUCACUUUCUUCACAAUCAUACUUAUGCUAUCAAUUAAUUUCACAUUCAUUUCUAUCAAAAGAUAAUUACACAAAUGAUCCAUAAAUUUUGACCUAAUAUGUAUUGUCAUC